UGUUUAUUUCCGUUUAGUAUGUUUAUUUCUUGGGUUGUAAUUGUAAAUUGGAAAUGAAAUAGUAAAAGAAAUUGGAAACCACCACCUUAGGGUGGUGGAUGCUGCCACCGACCGUCGUGUCAGGUGGCGGUGUGCUUGUCUUGUGAGUUGACUCGAUUGGGGAUGCCUGAAAUCCUAAUGGGCUUUAUUAGCAUAAUGGGNGUGCUUUGCCUCGUAGUGUUGAUUCGUUUGGGGUGCUUGGAACCCUAAUGGGCCUAAAGAAGCUCAAAUGGGCCCAAUGAAGCUUAAUGGACUCUAAUGGACCCAAUAAAACCAUAAUGGGCUCANUGGGGAUGCCUGAAAUCCUAAUGGGCUUUAUUAGCAUAAUGGGCCCAAUGAAGCCAAAUGGGCUUAGUGAAAACCCUAAUGGGUCUAAUGGACUCUAAUUGACCCAAUAAGAUCCUAAUGGGCUUGAUGACAUUCUAGUGGACUUGAUAGGCCCAAUAAAGCACUAAAUAACCUAAAAGUCCAACAAAUUAAUAAAUGGGCUAGUAUUUGGGUUGGAAAACCUAAUUAGGGUUUGGAAAACUGUGACAUCCCCAAAAUCUCGGCCAGAAAAUACCGAUUUUCAUUUAUUCUUUUAAAAUAAUUUCAGAGUAAAUCCUUUUGAUUUGAAAGAGUUGUGGAAUUUAUUCCCAAAAACAAAGUAUGAUAAAAUAAUAUUUACCAAAACAUUUCAUAAAAAAUGUAUUUUCAUUAUAUAAUCAAAACUCGGGAUGUCAUGUUCCGAUAUACACCAUAAAGCAUAAACGAUAACAUUACAAGUCAUUCAACAAAUAUAUACAUACACAGACUUGUAAACAAAAUAACUUGAUGGUUAAUCCAUCCUAUGCCC
rnacentral:lncRNA from 1 species